UGCUGGGUGGAAGCAGGCUGUCUAAUUCUCUUUCAACUUUAAUCCCCAUUUCUCCAAGAUCUGAUUUGGCUUUAAUUCCCAUUUCUCCAAGAUGAUCCCUCCCCACUGUGUGACUUCAGGAGCGUGACGCGUGUGCCGGAGUCGGUGUCACCCCGCGGCCGAGAUGGUGGCAUUCAACUGGAAGGCUCUGGAGAAUUUCCCAUUGCUGAUGUACAUUUUGGCAGCUAAAACAUUGAUCCUUUGCUUGGCAUUUGCUGGGGUGAAAAUGUACCAGAGCAAAAAAAUUGAGGAAAAACUGAAGAGGGAACGGGAAGAGAAGCUGAAAAGAGAAGCAGAGAAGAAGGAGGAUUGAAGAGUCCCUCAGAUGAAAAUUGAGCUGCCCUUGCAAGGGAGCAAAAGCUGUUGCUUGGCACGAGGUGACCAGAGUGAUCCCAAUCCCACUGGAAUUGCAGGGAUGGAUAAGGAUUGGAGCAACCUGGCCUAUGGAAGGGGCAGGGGGUGCCACUGGAUGAGCUUUAAGAAUUCCUGACACUUGGCAGCUCGUGCUGGAUUCCUUUCCCAGGAGGGUGAAGCCUCCCUGGAGAUGAAGGAUGUGUCAGAGGAAUAAAACCCUGGAGAGAAACAUCCACUUCAGCUGGAUCUGCGUUUUUUCCGUGGACAGAGAAGGAUUUCAGCCUCUAUUUGUGCAAUAAAAAACCCCUUUGUUAAAAAAAAAAUAAA